CUCAUUCUUAGUCUUGAUCUUGCUGUAUCAAGUAGUGCUUUAAUUUUGUGCCUGCAGUUUUGUUGUUUUUUGGAUAUCUGUCAGCCAAUUGUUCCGUUAUAUCCAACUUCAUUGACAAUCUUUUCUCCUAUUAUUGUUGGAGUCCAGUUUUUCAUCUAAUUUUAUCAAAAUGUCUGAUAGUGACGAUAGUUACAUGGCGCUCUCUGAAUGCGGAUCAGAAAGUUAUAUACCAAGCAUAGACGAUUCUAGCAGUUCGGACGAUUCAGGAACAGAUGCCGCUAGAACGUGGUGUGAUGCUGACGCCAUUACUUUUCCAACGCCUCCUCCACGGUUUCCAUUCACUGGAAC